rnacentral:rRNA from 1 species
UCAAGUGAAGAAGCGCAUACGGUGGAUGCCUUGGCAGUCAGAGGCGAUGAAAGACGUGGUAGCCUGCGAAAAGCUUCGGGGAGUCGGCAAACAGACUUUGAUCCGGAGAUCUCUGAAUGGGGGAACCCACCUAGGAUAACCUAGGUAUCUUGUACUGAAUCCAUAGGUGCAAGAGGCGAACCAGGGGAACUGAAACAUCUAAGUACCCUGAGGAAAAGAAAUCAACCGAGAUUCCCUUAGUAGUGGCGAGCGAACGGGGAUUAGCCCUUAAGCUUCAUUGAUUUUAGCGGAACGCUCUGGAAAGUGCGGCCAUAGUGGGUGAUAGCCCCGUACGCGAAAGGAUCUUUGAAGUGAAAUCGAGUAGGACGGAGCACGAGAAACUUUGUCUGAACAUGGGGGGACCAUCCUCCAAGGCUAAAUACUACUGACUGACCGAUAGUGAACCAGUACCGUGAGGGAAAGGCGAAAAGAACCCCGGAGAGGGGAGUGAAAUAGAACCUGAAACCGUAUGCGUACAAGCAGUGGGAGCCUACUUGUUAGGUGACUGCGUACCUUUUGUAUAAUGGGUCAGCGACUUAUAUUCAGUGGCAAGCUUAACCGUAUAGGGUAGGCGUAGCGAAAGCGAGUCUUAAUAGGGCGUUUAGUCGCUGGGUAUAGACCCGAAACCGGGCGAUCUAUCCAUGAGCAGGUUGAAGGUUAGGUAACACUGACUGGAGGACCGAACCCACUCCCGUUGAAAAGGUAGGGGAUGACUUGUGGAUCGGAGUGAAAGGCUAAUCAAGCUCGGAGAUAGCUGGUUCUCCUCGAAAGCUAUUUAGGUAGCGCCUCAUGUAUCACUCUGGGGGGUAGAGCACUGUUUCGGCUAGGGGGUCAUCCCGACUUACCAAACCGAUGCAAACUCCGAAUACCCAGAAGUGCCGAGCAUGGGAGACACACGGCGGGUGCUAACGUCCGUCGUGAAAAGGGAAACAACCCAGACCGCCAGCUAAGGUCCCAAAGUUGUGGUUAAGUGGUAAACGAUGUGGGAAGGCUUAGACAGCUAGGAGGUUGGCUUAGAAGCAGCCAUCCUUUAAAGAAAGCGUAAUAGCUCACUAGUCGAGUCGGCCUGCGCGGAAGAUGUAACGGGGCUCAAACCACACACCGAAGCUGCGGGUGUCACGUAAGUGACGCGGUAGAGGAGCGUUCUGUAAGCCUGUGAAGGUGAGUUGAGAAGCUUGCUGGAGGUAUCAGAAGUGCGAAUGCUGACAUGAGUAACGACAAUGGGUGUGAAAAACACCCACGCCGAAAGACCAAGGGUUCCUGCGCAACGUUAAUCGACGCAGGGUUAGUCGGUUCCUAAGGCGAGGCUGAAAAGCGUAGUCGAUGGGAAACAGGUUAAUAUUCCUGUACUUCUGGUUACUGCGAUGGAGGGACGGAGAAGGCUAGGCCAGCUUGGCGUUGGUUGUCCAAGUUUAAGGUGGUAGGCUGAAAUCUUAGGUAAAUCCGGGGUUUCAAGGCCGAGAGCUGAUGACGAGUCGUCUUUUAGAUGACGAAGUGGUUGAUGCCAUGCUUCCAAGAAAAGCUUCUAAGCUUCAGGUAACCAGGAACCGUACCCCAAACCGACACAGGUGGUCGGGUAGAGAAUACCAAGGCGCUUGAGAGAACUCGGGUGAAGGAACUAGGCAAAAUGGCACCGUAACUUCGGGAGAAGGUGCGCCGGCUAGGGUGAAGGAUUUACUCCGUAAGCUCUGGCUGGUCGAAGAUACCAGGCCGCUGCGACUGUUUAUUAAAAACACAGCACUCUGCAAACACGAAAGUGGACGUAUAGGGUGUGACGCCUGCCCGGUGCCGGAAGGUUAAUUGAUGGGGUUAGCGCAAGCGAAGCUCUUGAUCGAAGCCCCGGUAAACGGCGGCCGUAACUAUAACGGUCCUAAGGUAGCGAAAUUCCUUGUCGGGUAAGUUCCGACCUGCACGAAUGGCGUAACGAUGGCGGCGCUGUCUCCACCCGAGACUCAGUGAAAUUGAAAUCGCUGUGAAGAUGCAGUGUAUCCGCGGCUAGACGGAAAGACCCCGUGAACCUUUACUGUAGCUUUGCACUGGACUUUGAGCCUGCUUGUGUAGGAUAGGUGGGAGGCUUUGAAGCGUGGACGCCAGUUCGCGUGGAGCCAUCCUUGAAAUACCACCCUGGCAUGCUUGAGGUUCUAACUCUGGUCCGUGAUCCGGAUCGAGGACAGUGUAUGGUGGGCAGUUUGACUGGGGCGGUCUCCUCCUAAAGAGUAACGGAGGAGUACGAAGGUGCGCUCAGACCGGUCGGAAAUCGGUCGCAGAGUAUAAAGGCAAAAGCGCGCUUGACUGCGAGACAGACACGUCGAGCAGGUACGAAAGUAGGUCUUAGUGAUCCGGUGGUUCUGUAUGGAAGGGCCAUCGCUCAACGGAUAAAAGGUACUCCGGGAUAACAGGCUGAUACCGCCCAAGAGUUCAUAUCGACGGCGGUGUUUGGCACCUCGAUGUCGGCUCAUCACAUCCUGGGGCUGAAGCCGGUCCCAAGGGUAUGGCUGUUCGCCAUUUAAAGUGGUACGCGAGCUGGGUUUAGAACGUCGUGAGACAGUUCGGUCCCUAUCUGCCGUGGACGUUUGAGAUUUGAGAGGGGCUGCUCCUAGUACGAGAGGACCGGAGUGGACGAACCUCUGGUGUUCCGGUUGUCACGCCAGUGGCAUUGCCGGGUAGCUAUGUUCGGAAAAGAUAACCGCUGAAAGCAUCUAAGCGGGAAACUUGCCUCAAGAUGAGAUCUCACUGGGAACUUGAUUCCCCUGAAGGGCCGUCGAAGACUACGACGUUGAUAGGCUGGGUGUGUAAGCGUUGUGAGGCGUUGAGCUAACCAGUACUAAUUGCCCGUGAGGCUUGACCAU